rnacentral:rRNA from 1 species
UGGGGAAUCUUGCGCAAUGGCCUGACGGCUGACGCAGCGACGCCGCGUGUGGGAGGACGCCCCUCGGGGUGUAAACCACUGUUGCCCGGGACGAACAAGCUUAUUCGUAAGCUCUGACGGUACCGGGUGAGGAAGCACCGGCUAACUCCGUGCCAGCAGCCGCGGUAAUACGGAGGGUGCGAGCGUUGUCCGGAAUCACUGGGCGUAAAGGGCGCGUAGGCGGCGCGGUAAGCGUGCGGUGAAAGCCCGGGGCUCAACCCCGGGUCGGCCGUGCGGACUGCCGGGCUCGAGCACUGUAGAGGCGGGUGGAAUUCCGGGUGUAGCGGUGGAAUGCGUAGAGAUCCGGAAGAACACCGGUGGCGAAGGCGGCCCGCUGGGCAGUGGCUGACGCUGAGGCGCGACAGCGUGGGGAGCAAACAG